AUGUAAUUUGUUCUCAUUUCUUACCAAAAUGCCAAAGAUAACGCAGUUUGAGUACCAUAAAAUAGUAAUUUUACACCAACAAAGCACAAAAGAGCUAUUAGGGGAAAACUUGAUGUGUCUUGGCAUAGUAUGCAGCGUGUCCUUAAAAAACUCUCAGAAACUGGACAAGUGGAGGACAAAAACAAGAAGUGACAGGCUUAAAAAAACCCCAAUGAAUGGUUUCUGAAUAGUCAAGUCCAUAAGAGACAGGAAACAAAUCCAGGCAACAGGUCUUACAAUGUGACGAAUCUGAAAUGUAAAAAUCUGCACGGAGGAGGUCAGGUGGAGGUUCUGUCAUGGUUUGGAGCCAGUGGUGUUGGUGGUGUUACUGCCAGUGCAGUAAAAACAUAUAUGCAUAGAGAAACACACAGUGGAAAUUAAUGUGUCAUGGACUGACCUCACCAGAGCCCGGACGUCAACAUUAUUGAAGCAGUGUGGGAUCAUCUUGACAGAACAGAAGAAAAAGCAGGAAACAUCCAAAGACCAGCUUUGAGUGCCUGGAGAACUAUUCCUGAAGUCUACUUAAAGAAAUUACAAGAAAGCUUGCCUAAGAGAGUUCAGGCUGUGCUGAAGAAUGAAGGUGGUCACACCUUUAUAGCUAUACUGUAUUUCCGUGUAUGUUUUCACACAUUUCAAUAAGUCACUGCACCUUUUUCCCAUUUUCCUAGCAAAUACAAAGAAAUGAGGGGUGCCUCAAGACAUUUUCACAGUAGUGUAUACUGUCCUUUUUUAAUAGAUGUGAAUCUGGAGAGAAGCUGUAUAGUUAAAUGACACUGUUUUGUAGGUGGUCUUUGCAUAAAAGUUGUCCAUUUACUUUUCAUUCAAGAGAGUGUUAGAAGUAUGAUGUUGUGAUGCCAAAGAAAACCUGGAAGUGUUUUGGUUUUAGGAGUAGAGCUUGAAAUAGCUCCAGAGUUUUCCAGAGGGUCAGUUCCUCUCAUAGAUUUUUAGCCACAGAAGCACAAACAAAAUGAUGAAAGACAGCAAGUGGCAUCUACUGAGGAGCUAGUCAUUAUUACACAGCUGGUGACCAUAGAAAUGUGCACAGGUCUCUAGGUUCACCUGACUUCCUCACCCAAGCAAACCACUUGACUCCUGAGGAAAAAAAGGAAAAAAACCUAAACAAAACUGCAAUAACCUCUGGCUUCAGUCACUCCUCACGUGUUGUUUUUUCAUCCGCCAUCAGUGCAACCCCAGAAGUCAUGCAGGCAUGCUAUAAAAGGAGCAGAAGCAUGAUCUGUCAGGGUGAUUUAGAGUCAGGUUACUAGGAAGGACUCCACUAUAAUCUUCCAUACAGAGGGCGGAAUAAAGAGCCACUAUUCUAACCGAGUCCCUGACACCUGAACACACACAAGGCCAAGAGCCCCUCGGAUGCUCUUCGCUGUGGAAGGGGGAAAUUGAGAGUAAGCAUCCACCUGAGACGUCCACACAGUGGCCUUACUGUCAGGAGAGCGGGUUGGUUUGUUGGGGCCCCAAGCAUCCCGGGACCCUGCCCAUAUGUGGUGAUGUGGUGAGGUCUUCGGGGCUGGCUGGGUCUGGCUCUGCCCUAAUUGGCAGUGGAAGAUUAGGUCUGUCAGUCAGACUGACCGCAUGUCUGUCUGGCAGCCGUACAGAGAUAUGAACCAGCACGGCCGCACAGUACUGCAUUGAGAAAUUUACAAAUUCUAUUAAAUUGCAGAUGCACAUUAUAAAAAUGUGCGCAUAAAAGGGAAAUGUAUAUAAUACAUUUGCAGAUGCUGACACUCAUAAUGAAAGCAGUCCAGAAUUGUAUAAGAGCCAUGCAGUACGAGUUAUCACAUACUGGGGAAAGACUGCAGACGAAACACUUUCUGAUCCUAUCGCAGUACACUGUGUACCAGAAGGAAAAAGUACAGCCACGCAGUGGUGUUGUGAUCAGGCUGCUGUGCGUUUUUUGGGCAUAUGCACCAUCUGGUGGACAAGAAGAGAAUCCAUCAGCCCGCUAAAUCCCCAAACACUAGUGUAAGUAUUCAGUAGUUCUCGGCUGUGGGGUGGACUGGCUUUGAUGUGCUGCUGGGGCAUUAAAGGGAAUGACUGCAGGGCAGGAACGGCAGAUUAGGACCUUGAAUAUUCAAAAAAGCACGAGAGAGAGAGAGAGAAGAGGAAAGAGGAAGAAUGAAACUGCUUGUUCGCUUGCGAGUGAGAAAAAGAGACAGAGACGGAGUCAGCCAGCUGCCCCCGCAAAUGACACGUGGUGAAACAUACAUUCUGUAUUUUCGCUGAGGGUUGUUGAGAAGCCAUCUGA